rnacentral:rRNA from 1 species
GAUGAACGCUGGCGGCGUGCCUAAUACAUGCAAGUCGAGCGAACAGAUCAGGAGCUUGCUCCUCUGACGUUAGCGGCGGACGGGUGAGUAACACGUGGAUAACCUACCUAUUAGACUGGGAUAACUUCGGGAAACCGGAUCUAAUACCGGCUAAUAUCUUGAACCGCAUUGUUCAUUAGUGAAAGUCGGUUUUUCUGUCUCUUAUAGAUGGUUCCGCGCCGCAUUAGCUCGUUGGUAAGUUAACGGCUUACCAAGGCAACGAUGCGUAUCCGACCUGAGAGGGUGAGCGGACACACUGGAACUGAGACACGGUCCAGACAACUACGGGAGGAAGCAGUAGGGAAUAUUCCGCAAUGGGCGAAAGCCUGACGGAGCAACGCCGAGUGAGUGAUGAAGGACUUCGGAUCGUAAAACUCGGUUAGUAGGGAAGAAAAAAAGUGUAAGUAAAUAUGCACGUCUUGACGGUACCUAAGGAGAAAGCAACGGCUAACUACGGG